rnacentral:rRNA from 1 species
UACGUAGGGUGCAAGCGUUGUCCGGAAUUAUUGGGCGUAAAGAGCUCGUAGGCGGUUUGUCGCGUCUGCUGUGAAAAUCCGGGGCUCAACCCCGGACUUGCAGUGGGUACGGGCAGACUAGAGUGUGGUAGGGGAGAACGGAAUUCCUGGUGUAGUGGUGAAAUGCGUAGAUAUCGGGAGGAACACCAGUGGCGAAGGCGACUUCCUGGCCUGUUCUUGACGCUGAGGCGCGAAAGCUAGGGGAGCAAACGGG